rnacentral:rRNA from 1 species
GAUGAACGCUGGCGGCGUGCCUAAUACAUGCAAGUCGAGCGAACAGACGAGGAGCUUGCUCCUCUGACGUUAGCGGCGGACGGGUGAGUAACACGUGGAUAACCUACCUAUAAGACUGGGAUAACUUCGGGAAACCGGAGCUAAUACCGGAUAAUAUAUUGAACCGCAUGGUUCAAUAGUGAAAGACGGUUUUGCUGUCACUUAUAGAUGGAUCCGCGCCGCAUUAGCUAGUUGGUAAGGUAACGGCUUACCAAGGCGACGAUGCGUAGCCGACCUGAGAGGGUGAUCGGCCACACUGGAACUGAGACACGGUCCAGACUCCUACGGGAGGCAGCAGUAGGGAAUCUUCCGCAAUGGGCGAAAGCCUGACGGAGCAACGCCGCGUGAGUGAUGAAGGUCUUCGGAUCGUAAAACUCUGUUAUUAGGGAAGAACAAAUGUGUAAGUAACGAUGCACGUCUUGACGGGACCUAAGCAGAAAGCCACGGCUAACUACGU